GACGAACGCUGGCGGCGUGCUUAACACAUGCAAGUCGAGCGGAGCGGCGAACGGGUGAGUAACGCGCGAGUAACUGCCCCCCUCUCUGGGAUAACAGUUGGAAACGGCUGCUAAUACCGGAUAGUGGGGGAUGACUCGCGUCCUAUCCGCUUGUUGGUGGGGUAGUGGUCUACCAAGGCGACGACGGGUAGCCGGCCUGGGAGGGCGACCGGCCACAGUGGGCUGAGAGAGGGCCCAAACGCGUACGGGAGGCAGGAGGUGGGAAUAUUGUACAAGGGGGGAAUCCAUGAUGCAGCAACCCGCGUGCGGGAUGACGGCCGUCUGGUUGUAAACCGCUUUCAGCCAUGACGCGGUAGUGGCAGAAGAAGCACAGGCUAACUACGUGCCAGCAGCCGCGGUAAUAC
rnacentral:rRNA from 1 species